UUUACAGAUUAUUCAAAGGGCCCUUUGGCUCUCCAGGCUCUACCUGCCUACUUCUGCUGCUGCCACACAUCACUUCAAGAAUCUGAUGAACUGUACCAACCUCAGAUUAACCUCCAACCCCGUCCUUCUUUUUUUGCAAUCCCAGACCAUCACUGGAGGAAGCUGUUUCCUGAUUACCUGGUAAGGCCAUGUUCAAACAGGGGACUGCAAGGCAGCAUUGCACAUGGAUAAGAAAGGGUGAGAGAGAAAGAGAGAGAGUAGUGGUGACUGACCAAAAUGAAGAACUUGGCAGGAAUCCAGAUUGUUUCCAUAGACUAGUUCAACAAAACACAACUCGGUCGCAUCACUGCUUUGCCCAUGGAUGCCAGUCGACCUUGCUGGCAAAUUGUCCCAUUGCCUACUCAUGGUACUGCAACAAACAAGUAAAAAUCCUCUGUGGUCCAAAACGCAUUUUCUCCGUUACCAUUCUAAAAGAGAUGUCUGUAAAACUAUUGACAGGACAAACUGAAAAAAUGUAAAUUAUUGCUCUUUGGAUUACGCAUUUUUGAACCAUAAAGAUUCUAUAUUUGCUAGACCUUCCC